AAAACUUACAAUUAUGAUUAUGAAUUAAAAUAUAUUAGUUGUGGACAAUACAACAUUGAUAAGAUAUUUUGGACAUCAUGGUAUGCAUAAGGUUUGAGAAAAUUAUGUUCAGAGACACAUUUCAAGAAUUCAGUUACAUCUUAAGGCACUUGUCACAUGAGACAUUCUUUCUGUCUGUGUAAAGUCUUUAUUAACCCUAAACCCAAAAGCUUCCGUUUCAGUUUUCUGAAACUCAUUCUCUGUCCUUUACUAGUUAGUUUUGUGAAACUCAUUCUCUCUCCUUUACUAGUUAACUCUCUUUGUUUCUCUCCUAAAAUGUCUUCAACAAUAAUCAGUGAACACAUCAAAACUGGACGAGCUAAAAACCAAACAAACCAAAGAUGAUUCGUGGCUGUACCAUAUGCUCUUUCCAAUUUCCUAAUCCAAAUGCUCAUGUAGCUCCACGAAGAUUGCUUCAGUUGAAGAUUAAGAAACUAGAGGAAGAGAGCAACAGUGGCGAGAAGCCAGAUCUGUAAAAAGAGAGAGAAAGAGAGAUCGGAGAACAACAUCGGUUUUUAUUUGCGGUUUAUACGAAAAAGUCUAGCCAAGAUAACAUGUUGGUGAAGCUGAAGGUUUAUAAGAAACUGGAGUCCAUCCUGCCUCACUCGCCAAGUUGAUUACGAAGCUGAAGGUUUUAAGACCAACAAUGGUGGAGUUUUAUCUUUUUGCAUUGUUGGUCCCUUAUCUUUUGAUUAUUUACGCUUUAACCUCAAAAUUCUUAAAUAUGCAGAAUGGUCUUCUUAAUGUAUGAACCCAUAUUCUUUAUGUAUCCACAACAUAUAUGACCAUAUUUCUCUUCCAAAAAAAUACAUAAUUCACUUCA